rnacentral:rRNA from 1 species
UAGCUUGCUAGAAGAUGACGAGUGGCGGACGGGUGAGUAAUGCUUGGGAACUUGCCUUUGCGAGGGGGAUAACAGUUGGAAACGACUGCUAAUACCGCAUAAUGUCUUCGGACCAAACGGGGCUUCGGCUCCGGCGCAAAGAGAGGCCCAAGUGAGAUUAGCUAGUUGGUAAGGUAACGGCUUACCAAGGCGACGAUCUCUAGCUGUUCUGAGAGGAAGAUCAGCCACACUGGGACUGAGACACGGCCCAGACUCCUACGGGAGGCAGCAGUGGGGAAUAUUGCACAAUGGGGGAAACCCUGAUGCAGCCAUGCCGCGUGUGUGAAGAAGGCCUUCGGGUUGUAAAGCACUUUCAGUUGUGAGGAAAAGUUAGUAGUUAAUACCUGCUAGCCGUGACGUUAACAACAGAAGAAGCACCGGCUAACUCCGUGCCAGCAGCCGCGGUAAUACGGAGGGUGCGAGCGUUAAUCGGAAUUACUGGGCGUAAAGCGCACGCAGGCGGUUUGUUAAGCUAGAUGUGAAAGCCCCGGGCUCAACCUGGGAUGGUCAUUUAGAACUGGCAGACUAGAGUCUUGGAGAGGGGAGUGGAAUUCCAGGUGUAGCGGUGAAAUGCGUAGAUAUCUGGAGGAACAUCAGUGGCGAAGGCGACUCCCUGGCCAAAGACUGACGCUCAUGUGCGAAAGUGUGGGUAGCGAACAGGAUUAGAUACCCUGGUAGUCCACACCGUAAACGCUGUCUACUAGCUGUGUGUGUCUUUAAGACGUGCGUAGCGAAGCUAACGCGCUAAGUAGACCGCCUGGGGAGUACGGCCGCAAGGUUAAAACUCAAAUGAAUUGACGGGGGCCCGCACAAGCGGUGGAGCAUGUGGUUUAAUUCGAUGCAACGCGAAGAACCUUACCUACACUUGACAUGCUGAGAAGUUACUAGAGAUAGUUUCGUGCCUUCGGGAACUCAGACACAGGUGCUGCAUGGCUGUCGUCAGCUCGUGUCCUGAAAUGUUGGGU